GUCUUCAUAAAACCUGUAGUGAGAGUCCUGGCUUUGCAGUUUCCUAGCUUUCUGAUGUUGCAGGCUGGAAGACCCUCAGCCAGCACUGUCCUUCACAAAUUGGACGGACCAUGUCACCCAGGAGACUCUGCAAGGCCAAGGGGAGGCCCCGCCCUGUUAGGUGUGGGGACCAGAUGUGAGGCCCUCGUGUUCCCAGGACCUUGGUUCCCAGUGCCGAAGACUGGUUAGUGGCACUGAGUCGAGGGAGUGGAUGAGCAGAGCAGGAAGAGAACCUAGGAGAGGAAAGGCCAUGUGAGGACGCAGUGAGAAGGUGACUGUCUGCAAGCCAAGAAGAGACCAUCCCUGCUGUACCCUGUUCCAGAACUUUCAGCCCUC